CCGGGAAGGGGGGAACCUCUUGGUGAUGAGCGGAGGGGCGGGGUAGGAGGCUGGGUUCUUGGGGUUGCGGAGGACGGCGAGGGGCUUCGCAGCCGAGGUUGUGGGAAGCUGGCUGCUCCUUUAAACGGAAGCAUGUGACUGGUUCUCCUGUCGGGCUAUAAAUAACCGUGGCACGGCCCAUAAGGCACAUUUGCAGUUUUAUUUGCAGUGCAAUGUGGGUAGGCUUUUGAGGCAGAGCUCAGUUUUAGGGGGUGAAAAGUCUCGCAGCGUCGCCGGCAGGGAGCAAAGCGCAACAUAGGCGCCUGACUGGACGCAAAACGCUUUCUGUCGUGUGGUGGCGGCGGCGGCACAUAGGACAUACAGUAUAUGUAAUGGGGCCACAUGAUUUUUAUGUAUCAAGAAAAAAGAUUCAUAGCCCACCAAUCCCAGCACUGGGUACAACAUAGAGAAAAUCCUAACAACAAAAAAAAUCAGUGACAUACAAAAAGAGACAGUGGAAACAACAGAAAGGGGCUACAAGGAUGUUGCCCACUAAAACGAUAGGGCUGGGGAAUGUUUGUGGAAUUGCUGAUGGAUCUGGUGUGUGCUCAGCUGGGAGGGACAACACAUCCAAUGUGAAAAUGCACUACAAAAAUGGCAAACAAGCCCUCAACACCCCUGAAAACAGCCAGUGCCCACUAAGUUGCGACUGCGAUGCCAGGUAUGCCCACAUGCUGCCCACCCAUGGAGGGAGCCAAUGAACUCUCAGCAAGAUAGGUGUAUCUGCAGCACACACCAUUGCAUCACCAUACGUACAACACCCAUGGCGAUGCCACUCUGCCCCCACUCUUAUCAGUUCCAAGCGGCACAGCCAAAACUGACCCCUACUGCCAGUUCUGAAGCAUCCCUCCAGGCAGGGAUCUGAAUCCUUUUAUGCUCCUCACAACCACUGUUUUGGAGCAUAACCCACCAAGGACAGGACACAACACAGCACACACUUAGCUCCCCAGGCAGGGCACACCUAAAGUACAGUGGUACCUCGGGUUACGUACUUAAUUCGUUCCGGAGGUCCAUUCUUAACAUGAAACUGUUCUUAACCUGAAGCACCACUUUAGCUAAUGGAGCCUCCCGCUGCCGCUGCGCCACCGGAGCACAAUUUCUCGUCUCAUCCUGAAGCAAAGUUCUUAACCCGAAGUACUAUUUCUGGGUUAGUGGAGUCUGUAACCUGAAGCAUCUGUAACCUCAAGCGUGUGUAACCCGAGGUACCACUGUAUGCACAUAGCACUUAUAGGUUAAAGUUAUAAGGCCCACCCAAAGAGGAAGAGGCACUCUUGUUAAACAGCCAAGUCAAGGAGAGGGUCAAGAAUGCUGUUCCAUCUAACCUGUGAGGAGAAUGAGGGAAACAUGCUUCUUUAAUUAAUUUAUUGGUAAUUGCUCACACUUCCUCAACUCUGCCUAGAUUUGGAUGAGGAAGAAUCCCAGAAUCUGCAGUUUAUGUACUUGAGAGGGAGAAUUAUUUUAACAAGAGCUAUUUACUGUUCAUUGCACACUUGAGAUAAAUAAAUAUUUUAUUAUGGCAGCACUGUUCUUCAGAACUCCCUGCCUAUAGGCAAACUUCUUUGUUGUACUGUGUGCAAUGUCUGCUAAAAAUGUUAUUUUUUGUAUAUAUUUGUUUUUAAGAAGGUUGAUUUUUAUCUAUAUUAUGAUAAAUAUGUUAUAAUUA